GGGGUUCCUUAUUUAUAGACGGAGGGUGUAACUGCCUGACAGCGAUGUUUGUAACCAUCUGGUAGUGGACCGCUCAGAGCCGCACGGGGUUUGUUACGGAGAGUAGUGGCGUCAGGGGUUGUUCAGGGCCACGUGGAGCUCGUUGCGAAGAGUGGAGUGGUGUCCGUUGUCGGGACUUGCCAGAGAGUGGUGGAGCUACAUGAAAUCCAUUGCAGGGAGUGGAGCAG
rnacentral:lncRNA from 1 species